rnacentral:rRNA from 1 species
AUUGAACGCUGGCGGAAUGCUUUACACAUGCAAGUCGAGCGGCAGCGCGGGGCAACCUGGCGGCGAGCGGCGAACGGGUGAGUAACACAUCGGAACGUACCCUGUCGUGGGGGAUAGCCCGGCGAAAGCCGGAUUAAUACCGCAUACGACCUGAGGGUGAAAGCGGGGGAUUCUUGGGCAACCGAGGACCUCGCGCGAUAGGAGCGGCCGAUGGCGGAUUAGCUCGUUGGUGGGGUAAAGGCCUACCAAGGCGACGAUCCGUAGCGGGUCUGAGAGGACGGCCCGCCACACUGGAACUGAGACACGGUCCAGACUCCUACGGGAGGCAGCAGUGGGGAAUUUUGGACAAUGGGGGCAACCCUGAUCCAGCCAUUCCGCGUGAGUGAAGAAGGCCUUCGGGUUGUAAAGCUCUUUCGGCAUGAACGAAACGGUGGAGGCUAAUACCUUUCAUCAAUGACGGUACCUGAAGAAGAAGCACCGGCUAACUACGUGCCAGCAGCCGCGGUAAUACGUAGGGUGCGAGCGUUAAUCGGAAUUACUGGGCGUAAAGCGUGCGCAGGCGGCUCACUAAGACAGAUGUGAAAUCCCCGGGCUUAACCUGGGAACUGCGUUUGUGACUGGUGGGCUGGAGUGUGGCAGAGGGGGGUGGAAUUCCACGUGUAGCAGUGAAAUGCGUAGAGAUGUGGAGGAACACCGAUGGCGAAGGCAGCCCCCUGGGUUGACACUGACGCUCAUGCACGAAAGCGUGGGGAGCAAACAGGAUUAGAUACCCUGGUAGUCCACGCCCUAAACGAUGCCAACUAGGUGUUGGAGAAGGAGACUUCUUUAGUACCGUAGCUAACGCGUGAAGUGGC